rnacentral:misc_RNA from 1 species
GUAACAAUUUGCCCAUAGAGUAGUUGGAAACGAAGUUCUAAUUUCAUUUCCAUUUCUCUCCACCUGAUUGGGCUAAGAGAAAGACAAGUCCUUUAUUAUCUCUUCAAAAGGCUUAUUAUUUAUACCUAAUUGCCAUUCAGAUUCUCAACUCAAAACUGCGAAAUGUCGAGCUAGAUUAUUGAGGGUCACUUGUAAUCUCAGAAUCUCCUUUUGUGUUGCCAAACCCCCAAUUUUGAUGGAGCUGGAAUGAAUAUUCUUUGAAUUUUAAGCUUGCCUCUUUCAAUGGCUGCCUCUGUGUCACCAUUUUACCUAUCCUUCUCUUUUAGAAAUCCCCAUCUCAGAGCCUUGCCUAACCGUUUGAAUACUAGUCCUUAUCCUUCUAUUUCCCAUGACAAACAAGCUCUUUUCAAGUCCAAGCCAUUCUUGGCAUUUCAAACUGUGGAUCUUCCUGGCUAUCGUAUUUUCUCGUCUGCUCCUUUCGCUUUAGCUAGAUCUUCUUCACUUAGGUUUCUUGAUCCUGCAGAUGAUGAAGAAAUAUUGCCGUCCUUUGAGGAAAGGAGAGCCAAAUUUCUGUUUUGGGUUGUGGUUUGGGCUUCUCUUUCUCUUGCUUGGUUUGCAGCUUCUGGGGAUGCUAAUGCAGCUGUCAAUUCCAUCAAAGCCUCCAGCUUUGGGCUAAAGAUUGGCAGCGCUCUUCGAGGUUCGGGUUGGCCUGAUGAAGCUGUGGUGUUUGCUCUUGCUACGCUUCCAGUGCUUGAGCUCCGUGGAGCUAUUCCUGUUGGUUAUUGGAUGCAACUUAAGCCUCUAACGCUAACUGUCUUAUCGAUUAUUGGGAACAUGGUUCCUGUGCCUUUCAUUAUACUUUAUUUGAAGAGAUUUGCUUCUUUCCUUGCUGGAAAGAACCAGUCGGCAUCUCGAUUCCUUGACAUGCUGUUUGAGAAUGCCAAAAAGAAGGCUGGUCCUGUGGAAGAGUUUCAGUGGCUUGGCUUGAUGCUUUUUGUUGCCGUCCCUUUCCCUGGUACUGGAGCAUGGACCGGAGCCAUCAUUGCUUCUAUUCUUGAUAUGCCAUUCUGGCCAGCUGUAUCAGCAAAUUUUGUUGGUGUUGUAUUGGCUGGGCUGCUGGUCAAUUUAUUGGUGAACCUUGGUCUCAAGUAUGCAAUUGUUACUGGUAUUAUCCUCUUCCUGAUAUCCAUGUUUAUGUGGAGUAUCCUUCGGAAUAUUAGGAAGUCUUUGAGCUCCUCAAACUGAUAUUUAGGUGGUGGAUUAGACUAAAUAUCCCUCUGAUGAGCAGUAAACCAACAAUCUAUAAUUUUCCAAUUUGUAUAUUCAGUCACUUGGGAGUUGGUAGCAGUUUAUUCCUUGUUGCAACCUUUGAUUUUAUGUAGGAAGUUGGUUUUCACUUUUCACUGACUGUGCUGCAAAAAAUCUACAUAUUCUUGAGGGA